CUCCUUUUAAAAGCACUCGGUGGCCUUUUGCUAGUGACCCACUGAGCUGUCAAGAAGGGGCAGAGUGGAAACAUCACUUAGAGGAGAAGUGGUAGCGUGUUGUUUGCUUCAAUCAGUGUUGUGACUAGA